GCUCUCGUUCUUUUCACUUCAUUUUUCUUCUUCAAUUCGACUGCCUCUCAAUCUUCCGUGCCCCCCACUACCGUGGCUUGGCCGCCGUGAAGGCGAAAGCGUAAACGUCGGUGGUUCUCCUUGACACUCUUCCCCGUCUCUCGUUGUUGUUCCUUGAGUUUGCAGGUUGGUUUCGAUAGUUAGCGCCUAGCUGUAUGACCUAAUGUUGGGUUCAUUACCGAUAUUGCCUCUUCCUGCUCCUCCUUCUGAUGGAAACCUAGGUCCUCUUCCUGAGUCGCAAGUGUCUGAGGAGAGGGAGGAUGAGAAGUUGUCUAAGGAGGAGCAGAACAAAUCGAAUUCGACGUCAGUUGCUACACACACUAGAACUAUCGGAAUUAUACAUCCCCCUCCUGACAUUAGAACUAUUGUCGAUAAAACAGCCCAGUUCGUUGCUAAAAAUGGGCCAGAAUUUGAGAAAAGGAUCAUUGCAAAUAACACAGGCAAUGUUAAGUUCAAUUUUCUGAAUUCAUCGGAUCCAUAUCAUGCAUAUUAUCAACAUCGGCUGGCAGAAUUUCGUGCCCAAAACCAAUCUUCUACCCUGCAAUCUCCUUCGCAACCUGUAGAUUCGGCUUUGUCUGAAUCGACCUUAUCUGCACCGGCCUCUGACAGUAAUGAUGCAGCAGCUGCUGCUGCAGCAGCAACAAAGCCCGAGCUCUCUUCUCAGUUUAAGCCUGUAAGGAAAGUACUUGAACCCCCUGAAGCUGAGCAGUAUACAGUUCGGCUUCCUGAAGGCAUUACAGGGGAAGAGCUGGAUAUCAUAAAGCUCACAGCACAAUUUGUGGCUCGAAAUGGAAAAUCAUUUUUGACUGGGUUGACCAGUAGGGAGGUCAAUAACCCUCAAUUCCAUUUCUUGAAACCGACCCACAGCAUGUUUACAUUUUUCACCUCUCUUGCGGAUGCAUAUUCCAAGGUUUUGAUGCCUCCGAAGGGGUUGACGGAGAAGCUGAGGAGAAGUGUUUCUGACAUGACUACUGUCCUUGAACGGUGUGUGAACAGGCUGGAAUGGGAGCGCUCACAGGAGCAAGCUCGGCAAAAGGCUGAGGAUGAAAUAGAGCAGGAAAGAAUGCAAAUGGCAAUGAUAGAUUGGCAUGAUUUUGUAGUGGUUGAAACAAUAGAUUUUGCUGAUGAUGAGGAUAAGGAGCUGCCUCCCCCAAUGACCCUUGAGGAGGUUAUAAGGAGAAGCAAGGUUUCACCCAUGGAAGAAGAUAUAGUUGAACCUGAAAAGGAAGUUGAAAUGGAAAUGGAUGAGGAAGAGGCCCAGCUUGUCGAAGAGGGCAUGAGGGCAGCUAGUUUGGAAGACAAUGAUGAUGGGAAGAAAGGUGGAGUUAAUGUUACAGAGGAGCCUGAACCACCUAUGAGGAUUGUGAAAAACUGGAAAAGACCAGAGGAAAGGAUUCCUGCAGAAAGAGAUCCAACAAAGUAUGUUGUUUCCCCAAUUACUGGUGAGCUAAUUCCGAUUAAUGAAAUGUCUGAACAUAUGCGAAUUUCUCUCAUUGAUCCCAAGUACAAAGAACAAAAAGAAAGGAUGUUUGCCAAAAUUCGUGAGACAACACUGGCUCAGGAUGAUGAAAUCUCAAGAAACAUUGUUGGACUUGCACGGACCCGUCCUGAUAUCUUUGGUACUACUGAAGAAGAGGUCUCCAAUGCUGUGAAGGCAGAAAUUGAGAAGAAGAAAGAUGAGCAGCCUAAGCAGGUUAUAUGGGAUGGUCACACUGGUAGCAUAGGACGAACUGCAAACCAAGCCAUGUCACAGAGUUUUGGCGGCGAGGAUCAAAAUAGUGUCGCCAAUAAUGAAGCUAAGAACCUUCCUGGCCCUGCCGCACCUCCUCCUAGACCUGGUAUGCCUUCAGUUCGUCCUCUUCCACCACCACCUGGACUGGCAUUGAAUCUUCCCCGCGUUCCACCUCCCACAGUUCAGUAUUCUGCCCCAACCAGUGGUGGUCUUCCAGUUCCUCCUCCAAGACCUUCAGUAGUUCCCAUUAUGCCAACCAUGCAUCCAGCUCCUCAUCCAAUGCCAAUGUCUUCUGGGCAGCAAACAUUCAUGUCCAGUCAGCAACCUCCAUUGCCUUCAUCGGUUGCUGUGAAUGGACCAGGGAUGCCUGUUCCUCCACCCCCGGGUUCUCAAUUCACUCCUGUUUCAGUUCCUCGACCUUACGCCCCUCUUCCUAUGCCUCCACCUGGGAUGCCUAUGAUGCCUCCACCACCUUUGCCUCAAGGAUUGCCGCCCCCACCGCCACCUGAGGAAGCUCCUCCUCCGCUCCCAGAAGAACCAGAGCCAAAGAAGCAGAAGCUUGAUGAUUGUGCUCUAAUCCCAGAAGAGCAGUUUCUGGCUCAACAUCCGGGGCCAGUUCGUAUCUGUGUAUCAGUUCCUAAUGUUGAUGAAGGAAAUCUCAGAGGACAAGUUCUGGAGAUUACUAUGCAAUCUCUGUCUGAAACAGUUGGCAGUCUGAAGGAGAAAAUUGCUGGGGAGAUCCAGCUCCCUGCCAACAAACAGAAAUUGAGUGGAAAACCAGGGUUUCUCAAGGAUAAUAUGUCACUUGCUUAUUACAACGUUGGAGGAGGAGAGGUGCUCUCUCUCACAUUAAGAGAGCGUGGUGGUAGAAGGAGAUGAGUUGAUACUUGCCUAUCUGUUCAAGGUUGUUGUUGGAGCUUUUUCCUUAUGAUGGGGCAUAUAAUUUAUCAUAAUAUUCUUGAACUCUGAUGCUUUAUUAAUGUUGGUGACUUUAUGUGUACUUUAGUAUUACAAGGUUUCAGGAUCUUAUUAUUAUUUGGCAAGAUUGAUGUUAACUGUGGAAUACUGAUUUUGGCUCCUAGGCCUCAUCUGUUGUGAGCAGUGGGAAGUAUGCAGUUCCUUUUAUAUGAUUAAGUCAAAUAUUUACACCAUUAAUUAUGAUUUUCUUUUGGAUUUCAUUUGAUUCCGUGCAGAUUUACUUGAUUGUUUAUGUUAGAACUCUUCUGCAGUCAGGGAGGGGCCAUGUAGAUUUAUGCUUUUCUAUGGUGUUUUUCAUUUUUAGUGUUGUUUCAAAUUUUAAGGGGAUGCGGUGAUUUAGGUUCUUCUUUCUUCCUCUUCUAGUGUUUAGGUCGUCUUAUAUUGGAUAUGCUCAUACACCAGCACAGUUGAAUGGUUGAUUUGGUUGGAGGACCUUUUAGUUGAUGAGCUUAUGCACCUUUAGCUGGUGCUUCGUGUUUGGGGUUAUUGGGACAUUCUACAUGGACUUUUGGGAAGGGCUGUUCAGCUUAGCUGAUUUAUCUGUGAAUGGGAUGAGGAAGUUUGUGCCUCCUAAUUUUUGCAGCAUGGAGCAGGUUUGGUUUCAUCAUUUUGGGGGUAUUUUGGAAAAAUUAUGGGCAAGGUCACUUGCUGUUUUUCUUGGUUAGAUUGAGUUGAUUAUGUUAAAUCUUAAAUCUUGUCCUGCUAUUGUUUGAAAGUUGCUUUGUCUUUCUACUGGGUCGAGUCUUUGCUCUUGAAUUCUUAAGAGGGUCAGUAUGAUCCAUUAGACCCGCUUUUGUCUUUAUGCUUUUCUGUGCAUGUGAUUUCGUGCCCCAUUAGGUCUCAAGUGAUCCUUCUUUUGAUUAACCAAGUUUUGUCAUGGAACCAGAGGACCACUGCAUUGAUGGCUGAAGGUUAAAGCAAAACGCAAGUGAUAAGAAACAGAGAUGGAGGGGAAUGGAUUAUUUCCAUGCAUAUUGGUCCGCGACUGCGUGCAUUGCGUUCCAUAUACAGAAAAUCAAGCCCGAUCAUUCAUUACUAAUUUGAGUCAAACUGUAUGACUAACUGAUUGUUAGCUGGAUAACCAAUUAUUCUAAUCCCAAUGUUAGCCAUUCACUUAUUA